rnacentral:rRNA from 1 species
ACGGGUGAGUAACACGUGGGCAAUCUGCCCUGCACUCUGGGACAAGCCCGGGAAACUGGGUCUAAUACCGGAUAUGACCUUCUUCCGCAUGGUUGAAGGUGGAAAGCUCCGGCGGUGCAGGAUGAGCCCGCGGCCUAUCAGCUUGUUGGUGGGGUAAUGGCCUACCAAGGCGACGACGGGUAGCCGGUCUGAGAGGGCGACCGGCCACACUGGGACUGAGACACGGCCCAGACUCCUACGGGAGGCAGCAGUGGGGAAUAUUGCACAAUGGGCGAAAGCCUGAUGCAGCGACGCCGCGUGAGGGAUGACGGCCUUCGGGUUGUAAACCUCUUUCAGCAGGGAAGAAGCGCAAGUGACGGUACCUGCAGAAGAAGCACCGGCUAACUACGUGCCAGCAGCCGCGGUAAUACGUAGGGUGCGAGCGUUGUCCGGAAUUAUUGGGCGUAAAGAGCUCGUAGGCGGCUUGUCACGUCGGGUGUGAAAGCCCGGGGCUUAACCCCGGGUCUGCAUUCGAUACGGGCAGGCUUGAGUGUGGUAGGGGAGAUCGGAAUUCCUGGUGUAGCGGUGAAAUGCGCAGA